ensembl:snRNA U6 U6 spliceosomal RNA
AUAUUAAAAAAAAUUGGAACGAUACAGAGAAGAUUAGCAUGGCCCCAGCUCAAGGAUGACACGAAAAUUCGUGAAGCGUUCCAUAUUUUU